ACCUGCACGGUGGUUUUAUGGGCCGAAUGCUCACUAAACUGACUUAUUCUUCCCGGUAACCUGCAUACAGACCUCCCAGGCCCUGGCGUGAAGGUGGCACUGUGACUAGCUCUUGCCGAUGGAAUGGGAGGAGUCAGUUAGAAAUUUUCAUAUGGUCAAAAUACCCAUGGAAUAUAUGAGUGGCAGCAGUAAACAAUCCUUGAAGUUCUUGCUUGUUUAACUUGACUGUUGGUGAUGCCCAAUGAGGCCCUGUCUGCUCCAAGCAAAUUACAUAAAAAAGAUGUGAAUAAAAACUCAUCAAAUACUAACAGAGACUGUGUCUAAGAUGCCAAUUGAAGACUGGAACAGCCAUAUGAGUGUGGGGUAUUCCUGGAAACCUGUUCUAGUAGGCACUGGAGAAGACACAGGAACCUCUCAAUACAGAAUAGACACACUUUGCACUCAGUAAUAAUGCACUAAUUGACGAAUAUAUUGACGGAGUGUUGGUUUGCUUCACAAUCUGCUGGUAAACAUAUUCAUUUUUGGGUGAAUUUCAGGCCUUA
rnacentral:lncRNA from 1 species